UACGAAGGGGGCUAGCGUUGUUCGGAAUUACUGGGCGUAAAGCGCAUGCAGGCGGAUCGCUAAGUCGGGGGUGAAAGCCCGAGGCUCAACCUCGGAACUGCCCUCGAUACUGGCGGUCUCGAGUCCGGGAGAGGUGAGUGGAACUCCGAGUGUAGAGGUGAAAUUCGUAGAUAUUCGGAAGAACACCAGUGGCGAAGGCGGCUCACUGGCCCGGUACUGACGCUGAGAUGCGAAAGCGUGGGGAGCAAACAGGAUUAGAUACCCCCGUAGUCC
rnacentral:rRNA from 1 species